CCCUGGAGCAUUGUCCUGUCAAGGACAUGGGUUAAUUCUGAUGACCUGACAAUCCACGUCGAUUUGACAGCCCCCGAUGAUUUGACAACUCUCCAGUUGUCUGCACCAUUAAUUGCGGGACCAUACCACAUUCUACUAUAAAACGGGGUAAGGCAACAGUUUUGGUAAGCUUUCUUAAGCUCUUUUAAGCUUUCUCAAGCUGAGCCCCUGGUUCUUUCCACUGUUGCCUAGUUUCCUCUCUGACUUGAGCGUCGGAG
rnacentral:lncRNA from 1 species